rnacentral:rRNA from 1 species
GACGAACGCUGGCGGCGUGCUUAACACAUGCAAGUCGAACGGAAAGGCCCUGCUUUUGUGGGGUGCUCGAGUGGCGAACGGGUGAGUAACACGUGAGUAACCUGCCCUUGACUUUGGGAUAACUUCAGGAAACUGGGGCUAAUACCGGAUAGGAUCUCCUGCUGCAUGGUGGGGGUUGGAAAGUUUCGGCGGUUGGGGAUGGACUCGCGGCUUAUCAGCUUGUUGGUGGGGUAGUUGCUUACCAAGGCUUUGACGGGUAGCCGGCCUGAGAGAGUGACCGGCGACAUUGGGACUGAGAUACGGCCCAGACUCCUACGGGAGGCAGUAGUGGGGAAUAUUGCACAAUGGGCGGAAGCCUGAUGCAGCGACGCUGCGUGCGGGAUGACGGCUUUCGGGUUGUAAACCGCUUUCGCCUGUGACGAAGAGUGAGUGACGGUAAUGAAUAAAGAAGCACCGGCUAACUACGUG